GGGGGACAUACAGCAAACACCAUGGGAGAGGGCUGGAGAGAAGAAGAGGCAUGGCAGAGAGGCAAUUACCUGGAAGAAGAACACAAGCAGUCACUUGGGGAUCACAACAAGAUCAUCCCAGAGACAAAUCGCAGGGGGCAGCAAGCAACGAGCAAUAACUGGAGAAGAUCUACUAUCAAUGUCACUAGAAGACCUCAUACUAAAUGUGAGUUACAAAUGCCCAGAAAUAACAAAGUAUAAGUUGAACUACUCUGCAGACAUGGCAAGAAAUGCAUGAAGAUGAUUCAACAGGCGAAGAGGCAGCAGCGGAAGCUAAUCACUGGGAGGCAGCCCUGUUUGAGAACAUGAACAUACAACAUGAGUGAGA